GCAGAGGCCAUGGAGGAGUGUUCUUUAUUGGUUUGCUUCCCCUGACUUGCUUAACCUGCUUUCUUAUAAAACCCAGCAUCACCGUCCCAGGAGUGGCCACUGUGGGCUGGGCCCUCCCCCAUUGAUCACGAAAUGAGAAAUUGCCUUACAGUUCGAUCUCAUAGGGACCUUUCCUCAAUGGAGGCCUUUUCCUUUGAUGAUUCCAGCUUAUGUCAAGUUGACAUGCAAAACCAGCCAGUUCAGGCAUCUAACAAAUGUUUAAGCAAAUACUACACAUGUAUCACAGUAUUCCCCUUCAUUAAUAUUCUUGGUGUAAGAGCCUUAGAAAUUAGGAAACAAUUUUUCCCAGGAAAAGGGUAGCCUGCCAAAACAUCUUGACCCAACUUGAAUGGGAAACUCCUUAGCAGUAACUAAUGGUAAUGAAUACUUGUGCUCAGCUGCCCAACCAGCAGUGUGGCAAAGUGCCUGACAUCUGCAUCUCCACUGCUCAAUAUCACUGUCACCAGGCACAAAAAUUAGGAAUCAGUGAGCUGGAAAAACCCAGUCUUAGUACACAGUUCCUUCUUAUUAACUUAUUCUUUUCUUUCUUGAGACAGGGUUUUGCCUCGUAGCCCUGGCUGUUUAGGAAUUCACUCUGUCGACCAGAUCAGCACAGAUCAUGGACAUCAGUAUGACUUCUGGUGGAGCACAGAUCAUGGAAGUCUCUUGAGGAGACUUAAUCCAGAAAAUGAACCAUUCUUCAUCUUGGAUAUUUUGUUGUUCUGAGGCACAGUGUCCAGGAUCAGGACCUGGGUGAGCUCCUGGCUGCUGUUCACCACCCUGCCCGUGGUGUCAGCCACCCUGCUGGCACCCCAGGAGGGACCAUCAUGCUUGCUGUCUUCAAGCAAAACCUAAGAUGAUUUCAGCAUGGCACACUGUCUUCUCAUAGGCUAAGGACAAUUGGGCCAGUUACACUGCCUUCUCAUAGGCAAAAUGCAAUAGAGCUGGAUACUCUGCCUUUUGAUCACCUAAAUGGAAUGGAGGGUGACACAAGUCUUCCCAUAGACUACAUGCAAUGGAGCCAGAUCCACUGCCUUCCCCUAAACUAAGUAAGUAUGAUGGAGCCAAUCUACCAAGCGCUGAAACCUGAACUCUGUGAGCCAUAGUAAUUGUUCUUCCACAUAAGUCAGUUACUUCAGAUAUUUGUUGCAGCAAUAGAAAGUCAAUAUGAGUUCAUUGUAUGUAUUUUAGAUACCAGCCCUGUAUCUUGCAAAUAUUUUCUGCCAGUCUGUGUCUUAACUUUUCAUUUUCUUAAAACGGCCUUUGCAGGACAGAAAACUUAAAUUCUAGAGAACUCGAGGUUAACCACUUUGCCUUCCAUCCAUGGCAACUCUGGUUUUGUAUUCAGUCAUCUCCAAACCCAACACUGUUUCCAUAUUUAUCUUGUAGAAUGUUUUUACUUUUGUUUUUACAUUUUUGUUUAUGUCUACUUUAAGUAAUAUUCUAAGGGUGUAAAGCCUAAAUCUAGAUUCAUUAUUUACAUUGGGUGCUCAGUAACUUACCAGUAACUUUUGUCUUAAAUAUUUUAUUAGUAGAUAUUUUUGUAUAAUAUACUUCGAUAAUAUUUGCUCUGAUGUAAGGUUUAAAGGGUGUCAUCGUUGAUGCUUUCUGCCAAAGCUUAGGUGAUUUGUGUUUUUGUAACUUGUUUCUGGGCAUGCUACUGUUUUUCACUGACUUAUUAGAGUAAGCUGUAAAGUCAGGUAGGCUCUGUUCUCCCACCUUUGGUAUCAUCUUGAGUCCUUUGCCAUUUUACAUACAGACUGAAAUUAGGUUGUUCUAAUCCACAGAAUUGGAUCUACAGGUCAGCUUGGAAAGAACUGACAUCUUGACAACACUGAGUCUUCCUAUUAUCAUCUGAUGGUUCCUCUUAAUAAUGUUUUUAUCAGAGUUUGGUUGUUUGCCUCAUAUAGAGCUUGCAUAUAUUUUGAUAGUUGUGUUUGAGAAUUUAUACUUUUGAUGCAAAUGUGAAUAGUAUUGUCAUUUUUAAUUUUUAAUGUGUAUGGGUACUUUAUUGGCAUGCAUGUCUGUACACCAAGUUCAUGCAGUGCCUCUAAGGCCUGAAGUGGACAUUGAAUCCUCUAGGACUGGAGUUAGACUGUUGUUAGCCACCAUGUGGGUGCUGGGAAGAGCAGUUAUUGCUUGACAGGUGACCCAUCUCUUCAGACCUUGUGUGCUUUCAGUUUUAUAUUUGCUUUACGUAUAAUGUUAUACUGAAAAGCAAUAAACUUAUAUGCAAUGUCUAUA